GCUCCGGGGUAGGUGGGUGACGGCGGUCGGAGGUGUAGGAGGGAGCCGUGGAGGUCCAGGUGACUGCUUAGAAAACUGCACAGCAUCUGAUGAAAUUAGCGAAUAAGAACAUCAACCAUGUCUUACACUCCAGGAGUUGGUGGUGACCCCGCCCAGUUGGCCCAGAGGAUCUCUUCUAACAUCCAGAAGAUCACACAGUGUUCUGUGGAAAUACAAAGAACUCUGAAUCAACUUGGAACACCUCAAGAUUCACCUGAAUUGAGGCAACAGUUGUAAGUAUCUAGUUAAAUAAAUAAAAGAGAAAGAAAAAACUCUAUUGCUAUUAUUCUGUUGCUUUUACAGUAUGUAGUAUAUUAUGUUUACUGGAAGAAAAAAUGGAAAAACAAUGGAGUUUUUCUGCUACCUUAUCCAUACAUUUGUACCAAGCUUUUGUGUAGAUUUUUCCCUGUCUGGAGUAGGCAGGUGUUUUUAUAUUAAAGAUCUGGAAGACUGAGGUGGGCAGAUCACAAGUUCAGGAGUUCGAGACCAACCUGGCCAAUAUGGUGAAACCCCGUCUCUACUGAAAAUAAAAAAAUUAGCCAGGCG
rnacentral:lncRNA from 10 species